ensembl:snRNA U2 U2 spliceosomal RNA
AUCGCUUCUCGGCCUUUUGGCUAAGAUCAAGUGUAGUAUCUGUUCUUAUCAGUAUUAUACUUGGGCUUACCUCGCGGGCAGUGACAGCGAUCGCCUCUUGGAGGUUUCCUGGCUCACAAUUACUCCUGUGUUGUGAGCCCUCAACCCUUGAGAGGUAAAGGAAUUGCACUUUUUAAGGUAAGACGU